rnacentral:rRNA from 1 species
UACGGAGGGUGCAAGCGUUACUCGGAAUCACUGGGCGUAAAGGGCGCGUAGGCCGUUUAUCAAGUCAGGUGUGAAAUCCUACAGCUUAACUGUAGAACUGCACUUGAAACUGGUAGACUAGAGUAUGGAAGGGGGAGAUGGAAUUAGUGGUGUAGGGGUAAAAUCCGUAGAUAUCACUAGGAAUACCGAAAGCGAAGGCGAUCUCCUGGGACAUAACUGACGCUGAGGCG